AGUGAACGCUGGCGGUAGGCCUAACACAUGCAAGUCGAACGGCAGCACAGUAAGAGCUUGCUCUUACGGGUGGCGAGUGGCGGACGGGUGAGGAAUACAUCGGAAUCUACUUUUUCGUGGGGGAUAACGUAGGGAAACUUACGCUAAUACCGCAUACGACCUACGGGUGAAAGCAGGGGAUCUUCGGACCUUGCGCGAUUGAAUGAGCCGAUGUCGGAUUAGCUAGUUGGCGGGGUAAAGGCCCACCAAGGCGACGAUCCGUAGCUGGUCUGAGAGGAAGAUCCGCCACACUGGAACUGAGACACGGUCCAGACUCCUACGGGAGGCAGCAGUCGGGAAUAUUGGACAAUGGGCGCAAGCCUGAUCCAGCCAUACCGCGUGGGUGAAGAAGGCCUUCGGGUUGUAAAGCCCUCUUGUUGGGAAAGAAAAGCAGCAGGUUAAUACCCCGCUGUUCUGACGGUACCCAAAGAAUAAGCACCGGCUAACUACGUG
rnacentral:rRNA from 1 species